rnacentral:rRNA from 1 species
AUCUGUAGCCACACCACCUUGAACGCACUUGAUCUCUGAAGCCAAGCACAAGGUCUGGGUAGUACUUGGGUGGAAGGAGACUUCAUACUGGAAGAGAGGAGCUGAUGGAUU